UACGGAAGGCAGCAGUGGGGAAUAUUGCACAAUGGGCGCAAGCCUGAUGCAGCCAUGCCGCGUGUAUGAAGAAGGGCCUUCGGGUUGUAAAGUACUUUCAGUCGUGAGGAAGGUGUUAAGGUUAAUAACCUUAGCAAUUGACGUUAGCGACAGAAGAAGCACCGGCUAACUCCGUGCCAGCAGCCGCGGUAAUACGGAGGGUGCGAGCGUUAAUCGGAAUUACUGGGCGUAAAGGGCACGCAGGCGGUUAAUUAAGUUGGAUGUGAAAUCCCCGGGCUUAACCUGGGAAUGGCAUUCAAGACUGGUUAGCUAGAGUCUUGGUAGAGGGGGUAGAAUUCCAUGUGUAGCGGUGAAAUGCGUAGAGAUGUGGAGGAUACCGGUGGCGAAGGCGGCCCCUGGGACAAGACUGACGCUCAUGUGCGAAAGCGUGGGGAGCAAACAGGAUUAGAUACC
rnacentral:rRNA from 1 species